rnacentral:misc_RNA from 1 species
ACCAUCAAGCCUGGCUUGUCGUUGGACCUCUUUUACCGCUGAGAUAUGUGGUAGGUCCGAAGGAUAAUGACGGCGUCGUGUUUGACCCUAGAUGCAACGAGCUUUUUAUAGCACGCAUUGAAGAGGUCGGCCGACCCGGUCUUUAACCAUUAUUUUCUAAGGUUGACCUCGGAUCAGGUAGGAAUACCCGCUGAACUUAA